rnacentral:rRNA from 1 species
AUGUCAUACCCAUUUAAACUCCAGAUCCGCCUCUCUGCUCUUCCAGUCCCAGUCCCAGUAAUUACCAUGGCUUCUUCCUCUCCAACUCAGCUGCUCCUCGGCCUCCUCCUCGUCCUCCUAGCGUCCGCGCGCGCCGCCUCGGUCUCGCUCCCGGCGCUGCCGCUCUCGACGACGUCGCGGUGGGUGGUGGAUGCGGAUGGGCGGCGCGUGAAGCUGGUCUGCGCGAACUGGGCGGCGCACCUGGAGCCCGUGGCCGCGGAGGGCCUGUCCCGGCGCGGCGUGGGGGACAUCGCGGCGCGCGUCGCGGCGAUGGGGUUCAACUGCGUGAGGCUCACCUGGCCGACCUACCUCGCCACCAACGCCACGCUCUCGUCGCUGCCGCUGCGGUGGUCGCUGGAGCGCCUCGGCCUGCGGGAGUCCGCCGCCGGCGUACGUGUCAACAACCCAGACCUCCUGGACCUGCCCCUCAUCGACGUGUUCCGGGAAGUGGUGUCAGCUUUGUCCAGCAACAGUAUUAUGGUCAUACUUGAUAACCAAAUGACCACUCCAGGAUGGUGCUGUAGCAGAACUGAUGGUAAUGGCUUCUUUGGAGACAAAUACUUUGACCCUGAAGAAUGGUUGAAGGGCCUCAGUGCAAUGGCAACAAUGUUUAGGGACACAGAGAAUGUUGUCGGCAUGAGUUUGCGUAAUGAGCUUCGUGGCCCCUACCAAAAUGUUAGUUUGUGGUACAGGUAUAUGCAACAGGGUGCUGAAGCUGUGCAUGCAGCAAACCCUAAUGUCCUUGUUAUUUUGUCGGGCCUGGAUUUUGAUAACAGUCUCUCCUUCUUGUCCCCAAAGCAAGUUAAGCUGUCAUUUACUGGAAAGUUAGUCUUCGAACAGCAUUGGUAUGGUUUCUCAGAUGGAACCGAUUGGGAAAAUUGGAACCAAAAUGAUGCUUGUGGAGUGGCCGUCGAGUCCAUAAGGACUAAAGGACUCUUUCUUCUUCAACAAGGAUGGCCGUUAUUUUUCUCUGAGAUUGGGUUUGACAUGUCUGGCACGCAUAUUGCUGACAAUCGUUAUCUUACGUGCUUCUUGAGUGUAGCAGCUGAAAUGGAUCUGGAUUGGGCUGUUUGGGCUCUAGAAGGGAGUUACUAUAUCAGGGAGGGUAUUCUAGCUUACGAUGAAACAUAUGGUUUGCUAACAUGGGAUUGGUAUACAGCUAGAAACCCCAGCUUAAUUGAAAGGAUCAAUUCUCUGCAAUCUCCAUUUCAAGGUCCUGGUCUACCGAGCAGUCACAAACCAUACAACGUAAUAUUUCAUCCUCUAACCGGGCUCUGCGUGUUGGUGGAAUCUACGAAUGUUCUUAAGCUGGGUCCAUGCCAUGAAUCGAACGCUUGGAACUACACCUCCGCGCAUGAGCUUGUGCUGAAGCACACCGGGCAAUGCCUUGAAGCCAAGUCUGUGGGUGAUACUGCAAAGCUUGGGACUGGCUGCAGCAAAUCCUGUUCAAAGUGGCAGCUAAUAUCUGAUUCAGGAAUGCAUGUUUCGUCCGAAAUCACUAAGAAUGGGACCAGAGUGUGCUUGGAAGCCGGUCCUGACGGCGUCAUCACCACAGAUCAAUGCAAGUGCCUGACUGAAGAUCCAAGUUGCGACCCUGAGAGUCAGUGGUUCAAAGUUAUAUCGAGUAGUAGAGGCAUACCAGGUGAGGCCUCUGUUCUGCGGUUGCCAUCUCUUGGACCCUGGCCUCCAACCUCAAGUUCAUCGCGGUAG